GACGAAGGGGGGCUAGCGUUGUUCGGAAUUACUGGGCGUAAAGCGCGUGUAGGCGGUUGCCCAAGUCGGGUGUGAAAGCCUUGAGCUCAACUCAAGAAAUGCACUCGGUACUGGGUGACUAGAGGACCGGAGAGGAUAGUGGAAUUCCGAGUGUAGAGGUGAAAUUCGUAGAUAUUCGGAAGAACACCAGUGGCGAAGGCGACUUACUGGGACACGUAUUGACGCUGAGGUGCGAAAGCGUGGGGAGCAAACAGG
rnacentral:rRNA from 1 species